GGUACCACCUACAGCCUUGUCCUGAUGGAGAUGGCAGAUGACCUUGGAAGGGUGGGAGAAGCAUCUAGCAGGAGCAGCAGCUGCAGCAGUCCAGCUGCCAGCCACCCUCUCCAGACACUGAAAUCCAGAAAGCAACUAGCUAGAAGUAAAUCAAGUCUACACUGGCUCAAGGGGAGCAAGUCUCCAUUUACAAAGGAUCAAGGCAAGUGCCAGCAGAGGAAGCUCCUCCGGCUGGCUGGAGCCUCUGGGGAGAAGCCUGAGCCAGUUUGUCCACUUCACUUCUGCAGCUGUUUGAGUCCACGCCUGAUCAGUGCCUCCACCAUGACGUCAGGAUCCACAGGGCCCAGGGGCUUCUGGCUGUCCACUGGUUUUGUCUGUCUCAGUCCUUCAUUUUCAUUGGAGCCACUCUGUUUCUCAAUCUAGCACGUUUCUGCCCUCCUUCCAUGGGAGCCACUUUUUUUCUGAAUGCCAGCCUGCAGAAGCUUGUCAUGCAACUGUUGUUCAAUGCAGGAGGUGAUCCUCCUGGUCACUCUUUUCCAACCCUUGCUGUUGUCAUGGAAUUGCCCUGUGGAGGUACCUUGGGAGAAAUUGCUGCUGUGUCCUGUGACCCACCUACUGAGGAUCCUCAAGGCGUUGGGUAUGGGGGGCACAGGGUCAUACUGGGAGGCUAUGCUGGGAGUGGGGGUCCUCGCAUGCAGGAAGUGAAGGCGAAUGGCAGGCAUGCUGGCUUUCCCACCGCCCUUCUGCCCUGACUGCUUGGUCUCCUCAGGCAGUUGCUGUUCUCAAGGGAAGGUGGGAAGGGUGGGCUCACUGGCACUGCUCUUUGGGCAGACAGGGAGAUUGGAAGGAUCCGUGGGGCCUGAGCAUGGGACCUGUGCAACCCCCCAAGGCACGUGUUUCACCUGGAACUUGUGGCCUGCUGCUGGCUUUUCUGGUGUUGGAGUAUCAGGUACAUGGCCAUUGCGUCAUCGUAUUUUCGAUUUGCUCAUGUGACCUAUUGUCACAAUUGUGAGGUCUAGGUGUUGGGAGAGUGGCUCACUAGAACAACUGGGCCAAUAGUCCUCACUCUGGCUCAGCCGUGGAUGCCCCAGGAUCUGCUCUACUGUGGACCUCUGUGUGGGGUCCAACAUCAUUAUUUGGUGUACAGGGGAUAUUUUACCUUUCAUGCAUGAUCAGCUCCUUCCUAUGGAAAUGGGUGUCUCCCUGUGAGCAUCAAGUAUAGAACGACACCCAGGUUCCGGAUGUCCACAGGGGAGCCCUCAUGUUUUUUCCUCUAGAUGACUUCAGAGUUAAGGUAUUUGACAGAGUGCCCCAGAACUUGUUUAACUUACACCUAGUCAUGAAUCUGGUGCUUGGGCUGAAGUCAAUGAGUUUGAUGUUGCCUCUGGCAUCCACCAGGAUGUUUCUCACCUUCAGGUCAAGGAGAACAAUACCCUUCUUGUGGCAGUAGCCCAUGGCAUUUGGGAUCUGCCUGAACAGUCUCUGGGCCUCCUCCUCUUGGGAUGUAGGGCCAUAGCUAUCCCCCAACUGCAUAUUCCAUGAUGACAUAGAUAUUUUUGAUGGUCUCAAUGACCUGAAGGAGCUGGAUCACGUUUUGGUGCUCCACAGCCUUCAGCCUAUCCGGUUCAGAUAAGAUGGGGAUGUUCUGUUCUACCUUUGGUAGAACUUUCACGACCAUCUCUGUCCCAGUUGAGGAGAUGGCGGGUUACUUUCACCUGGGCAAAGCCACCCUGUCCAAUGUUCCUCAGAACCUGAUAAUGGUCCAUGAAGGAGAUAGAAAAGGAUAGGCAGUGGAGAGUAGGGAAGGGUCAGUAAAGGUCAUCAAGAGGGCAAGCACGAGAACAGCCAUUUUAACAUGCCCCAACAUGUUAUAAAGCAGUUCUGGUUUCCAUGUCACAGCGUGGCUGUGUAAUCUGGGACAACUGAGAUACCAAGAGCCAGUCAAGAGGAGUUUAUCAACUUCUCCUUAGGUGCCUUUAAAAGAAGGAACAUUGUAAGACUGAAAUGGCACUUUUACCACUCUCAGGUGCCCUGCACUCAAGAGUUCUGUCUUUCACCUUUUUUAAGUAAAAUUCCUGCUCGCUUGUUUA